GAUGAAGAACGUAGCGAUAUGCGAUACGUAAUGUGAAUUGCAAAUUCAGUGAAUCAUCGAGUCUUUGAACGCACAUUGCGCCCCCUGGUAUUCCGGGGGGCAUGCCUGUCCGAGCGUCAUUGCUGCCCUCAAGCACGGCUUGUGUGUUGGGCCCCGUCCUCCGAUCCCGGGGGACGGGCCCGAAAGGCAGCGGCGGCACCGCGUCCGGUCCUCGAGCGUAUGGGGCUUUGUCACCCGCUCUGUAGGCCCGGCCGGCGCUUGCCGAUCAACCCAAAUUUUUUAUCCAGGUUGACCUCGGAUCAGGUAGGGAUACCCGCUGAACUUAAGCAUAUCAAUAAGCGGAGGA
rnacentral:misc_RNA from 1 species